rnacentral:rRNA from 1 species
UACGUAGGAUGCAAGCGCUGUCCGGAUUUAUUGGGUUUAAAGGAUGCGUAGGCGACAUAUUAAGUUAGUGGUGAAAACGUUUGGCUUAACCGGAUACCCGCCAUUGAUACUGAUAGACUUGAGUGCGACAGAGGGUGUUGGAAUGUGUGGUGUAGCGGUGAAAUGCUUAGAUAUCACGCAGAACACCAAUUGCGAAGGCAGAUGCCUAUGUCGUAACUGACGCUGAGGCACGAAAGCGUGGGGAGCAAACAGG